ensembl:lncRNA
GUCGAUGAAAGCAACAAGUAAAAAUGCAUUUCUCACCUAACGGAUUCCAAAUGUCUGCGAUGGAUUCGUUUCAUUGGAGCUCCCUCGUGCUUGUUAUGUUGACUGUUGGAUGCAGCAACGGCCAGAAUCAACCGUGUCUGGUGGAGGAAGUAGUGGGAAACUACGUCAGGUUUGAAACCAACCUCGACCCCUCACAUGUGGCCAACUUUGCCACUUUAACGUGGCUUUUCAAUGGACUGGUGCCAAUUGUUACAUCUGUGUCCACUAACGUGAACAUUGAACGCGGCUAUGAAGGAAGAGUGUCACUGAAUUCAUCCACCUUUGCCCUGACGCUUGGACCUUUGACGAAGGAAGACAGUGGGGAUUAUUCUGUUUCCAUUAUCAGUCAAUCUGGGGUUUACUUGACCGAAAGCUUUUCGCUCAGAGUUGUAGACCCAGUGUCCGGUGUGACCAUCACAUCCAACAUGAACGCGGCUGUGGAAUUCAACGAUGAAUUGUUUUGUAUUUCUAAUUAACACUGUGGAUUGUUUUUAUAUUACUUAAAUAAUGAUUUAAUGGAACUACUGUACAAAUACAAAGAAAAUGUUAAGACCUUUUUUGUUAUUGUUAUUAACACUAUGGUGUUAAUUAAAGUAAUUGUUCAUGUGCUUACUGUACAACUAGCUCUUUACAACAUAAACACAAGAUUAUUU